rnacentral:lncRNA from 1 species
AUGCCAAGAGGAAAGAAGCGCAGGGGGAAGAAAGUGGCCCCGGCCCCUGCUGUCAUGGAGAAGCAGGAGACCAAGAAAGUGGUGAAUCCCCUCUGUUAAGAAAAGGCCUAAGAAUUUUGGCACUGGACAUCCAGCCCAAAAGUGACCUCAGCCGCUUUGUGAAAUGGCCCUGCUAUAUCAGGUUGCAGCGGCAGAGAGCCAUCCUCUAUAAGUGGCUGAAAGUGCCCCCUGUGAUUAACCAGUUCACCCAGGACCUGGACCACCAGCUACUCAGCUGCCUAAGCUGACCCACAAAUACAGACCAGAGACAAAGCAAGAGUAGAAGCAGAGGCUGUUGGCCCAGGCUGAGAAGAAAGCUGACAGCAAAGGGGACAUCCUCACUAAGAGACUACCUGUCCUUCAAGCAGGAGUCAACACCGUUACCCCUUGGUGGAGAACAAGAAGGCUCAGCCAGUGAUGAUUGACAUGACGAGGAUCCCAUCGAGCUUGUUGUCUUCCUGCCUGCCCUGCAUUGUAAAAUGUGGGUCUCUGAUUGCAUUAUCAAGGGGAAGGCAAGACUGGAACGUCCAGUCCACAGGAAGACCUGCACCACUGUUGCCUUCACACAGGUUAACUCAGAAGACAAAGGAGUUUUGAUGAAGCUGGUGGAAGCUGUCAGGACUAAUUACAACGACAGAUAUGAUGAUAUCCGUCGUCACUGGGGAGGCAAUAUCCUGGGUCCCAAAUCUAUGGCUUGCAUUGCCAAGUUGGAAAAGGCAAAGGUUAAAGAACUUGCCACUUAACUGGGUUAAA